GUAGAUAUAGUUUAACAAAAACGUUAGAUUGUGAUUCUAAAAACAGAGGUUAAAAUCCUCUUAUCCACC
rnacentral:tRNA from 2 species